rnacentral:rRNA from 1 species
GUAGUCUCGCACAGAUGCAUAUCAAUAAGCGGAGGAAAAGAAACUAACAAGGAUUCCCCUAGUAACGGCGAGUGAAGCGGGAAGAGCUCAAAUUUGAAAUCUUAAAGGGUUUCCCUUUACGAAUUGUAGUUUAAAGAAGUGUUUUCUGUUGAGGUUUUGGUAAAAGUUCUUUGGAAUAGGACAUCAUAGAGGGUGAGAAUCCCGUAUUUGACCAUUAUUUUCAACUGUGUGAUACACUUUCAAAGAGUCGGAUUGUUUGGGAAUGCAGUCCAAAAUGGGUGGUAAAUUUCAGUCUAAAGCUAAAUAUUGGCGAGAGGACCGAUAGCGAACAAGUACCGUGAGGGAAAGAUGAAAAGAACUUUGAAAAGAGAGUUAAACAGUACGUGAAAUUGUCAAAAGGGGAGCGUUUGACACCAGUGUUGUUUUUCUGAAAAUCAAUUAAAGAACUGUUUAUGCUAAGUUGUUUAGACUUUAUCAGCUAACUGUUUAGUUUUGAGCUUUUCUUUAAUGCACUUUUCAGUUAACAAGUCAACAUCAAUUUCUUUUGCUGUAAAAAAGCUUGAGGAAGGUGGCUUGAGAUUCGUCUUAAGUGUUUAUAGCCUCUUGCCUAUGCAGUCGGAGAGAUUGAGGUCUGCAGCGUAGAUCCUUCGGGGCUAAAUGCAUUUGUGCUAAGUUAUAGCAUUUUAUAGACAACUUGUUGACUAUGAUUUGUCUUGUAGCUUACUCGCUUAUGUUAUUUUACCUACGCUUAGGAUGUUGAUGUGAUACUGCGAGCA